CAAAUUAGAGCUUGAAUUAAGUAUUUCAUUUACAUUGAAAUGAUAUUGAAUAAAUCAAUUGAUUUGA